AGCAGGCUGAAUCUAAAACUGGCCUGGUCUAUAAGGCCGUUCCUCAGAUGAUCUGACAGCCCAUGGAUUAAUUCUGUGUCACUUUCAAACAGGGCAAUAGAGUUGUCAAGACUUGAUAAAGCCCAAUAAUAUUUCUAAUAACAAGUAAACUGAAAGCCCAGCUGGGCACUGAUUCUUAUUUUGUGUUGGGCUCCCAGGCCAGCCUACAACGAUGUGUUCCUUUGCAUUCAACAAACAUUCACAGCCAGGCUUCCUAAGCUGGAGUCCCUGGAUGUGUGCUUUGCAGAUCUUGGCUGUAAAGUAUCUCACUGGUCUUUCUCUCUGGCACCUCUUGUUAUGCCUCCAGCUGCAGCCAAGCAUCUGGGCCUUGGUCACCGAGUGCUGUGAUUGCAGGCACUCUGUGCUGACAAGUGACUUGGUUGCCUCAGACCAGGUGUGACUCAUUAUUUUCCUCCUGACAUUCCAAGCACUGAAGUAAAUGAUUGAUGGAGGGAAAGAUCCAAAGUGUCAGAGAAGUCUCUCUCUUGGCCGUGAAUAACAGGCUACCUUGAAUUGGUGUUUCCUUUGCGUAUUUUGUUUCUAAGCAAAUCGAGUCCCAGGUAGAGUUUUGCCCUUGAGCAGCUUCAUGAGGUCAAGGAGGGGCGCUCACUCCACUCUGCACGGAAACACUGAGUGGAAUGAAAAUACAACCGGAGAGAAUGUCCUCCCCACCAGAAGGUCGCCUCGAGACAGGCCUCCACGCAUCGUUGCUGACCUCACACAGUGAUACCUCUGCAUGCCGGGGAGCAAUUCCAUCCAAAUGUGGGGAGGUCUGGGAGGUUAAACCGUUUCCUCCAGAUCACAUUCCCGGGAAGACGAACCCAGCUGUGCCUGACUGCUCCUUUCUUCUCACUGCUUCUGCGGAGGUGGAGACGCCCGCGUAGCCCGUGUUGUCUUCCUCUGCCCACUCCAGGCCAAGCAUCCCCCUUCCUGUCACGCGCUCUUUGAUGGCUUCACUGUCCUGGACACCCCCUCAGAUCUGUGCUGUCUCAGAGAAAGCAAGCGAGAAUGGGCCCACGGUGCUCCUCGUCUUUGGAAAUGGAUUUUACCUUUAUAAGUGAGAGCUUUCAGAGGCACAGAGUCCUGGGGCUGCAUAGGAACAGGGGGCCUGGUCGGGGCUCUUUUCCUUUCCGGGACCUCUUUCUCUAUAAAGAAAAUAAAAAUGCGAUUUGAGGACUGUUGGUACAAA